rnacentral:hammerhead_ribozyme from 1 species
GCGCGAAACCGUCCCUAUGGGGGGGCGGUCGUCGGGGCGUGGUGGCCCUGGCCUGAUGAGCAGCCAAAA